rnacentral:rRNA from 1 species
GACGAACGCUGGCGGCGUGCCUAAUACAUGCAAGUAGAACGCUGAAGGAGGAGCUUGCUUCUCUGGAUGAGUUGCGAACGGGUGAGUAACGCGUAGGUAACCUGCCUGGUAGCGGGGGAUAACUAUUGGAAACGAUAGCUAAUACCGCAUAAUGGUAGAUGUUGCAUGACAUUUGCUUAAAAGGUGCAAUUGCAUCACUACCAGAUGGACCUGCGUUGUAUUAGCUAGUUGGUGGGGUAACGGCUCACCAAGGCGACGAUACAUAGCCGACCUGAGAGGGUGAUCGGCCACACUGGGACUGAGACACGGCCCAGACUCCUACGGGAGGCAGCAGUAGGGAAUCUUCGGCAAUGGACGGAAGUCUGACCGAGCAACGCCGCGUGAGUGAAGAAGGUUUUCGGAUCGUAAAGCUCUGUUGUAAGAGAAGAACGAGUGUGAGAGUGGAAAGUUCACACUGUGACGGUAUCUUACCAGAAAGAGACGGCUAACUACGUG